UACGAAGGGGCUAGCGUUGCUCGGAAUCACUGGGCGUAAAGGGUGCGUAGGCGGGUCUUUUAAGUCAGGGGUGAAAUCCUGGAGCUCAACUCCAGAACUGCCUUUGAUACUGAGGAUCUUGAGUACGGGAGAGGUGAGUGGAACUGCGAGUGUAGAGGUGAAAUUCGUAGAUAUUCGGAGGAACACCAGAGGCGAAGGCGGCCAACUGGUCCGGAACUGACGCUGAGGCGCGAAAGCGUGGGGAGCAAACAGG
rnacentral:rRNA from 1 species